rnacentral:misc_RNA from 1 species
UGCUUCCUACAUUUCAACAUGGUCCCAGUCAAUUGAUCUGUCUUCAAAGCUCUCUGAUUGGUGAAGUCUAUUUCGACCCAAUCUGCUCAUCAUGGCAAGACCUUCUACCAUCUUGUAAAGAGCUGACCACCAGCCCUCUCUGGAAAUUUGGUAUUGAUUUAAUGAUUCAUCAAUUACUUUGUCAUGCUUCCCUUCCAACACUCCUUGCAAAGUUACCACUGCAUCCUUUGUUUUCUUCAGGAUACUGUCCUCAUCCGCAACUUCCAACCGCUGAAGGUCAUUAUGUGAUGAAGUCAGGCUAACAGCAAGGGCAAACUGUGCAGCAGCAGCCCAACGAGAAGAGGCCAGCCAUUUCCUCUGCCCAUCUAACUGUUUGUUCUCUUGUGUUCUAAACUUACUCUCUCCUUCCCCACCUAGUACUAAACUGCGCAAGUACUGAGCAUUUGCAGCCCCUGUACUUUGAACCAUCUUAGAGAAAGCACUAUCUUCAUUUGAUAACAGUUCCUCUGGUGUAUCAUAUUCCAGAACCUGGCCAGAAUCAAGAAGAAGGAUCCGGUCACAAUCAAUGAUUGUAUUAAGUCGAUGAGCAAUGAUUAGCAUUGUACAUGAUUUGAAUUCUUCUCGAAUGGUUUUCUGAAUAAGAGCAUCAGUUCUCACAUCAACAGCAGCAGUAGCUUCAUCAAGAACAAGUAUCUUUGAUCUCCGCAACAAUGCUCGAGCAAGACUCAAAAGUUGUCUCUGUCCAACACUGAAAUUCUCCCCAGCUUCCGAAACCUCAGCAUUCAAACCUAAAGAAUUCCUUCUAAUAACAUCCUUCAGGUGUGCUCUCUCCAAAGCCUCCCAAAGAUCAGCAUCAUUGUGUUCAUUGAAAGGAUCAAGAUUAAACCUCACAGUUCCUGAAAAAAGAACUGGCGAUUGUGGUAUAAUUCCAAGUACUUUGCGAAGAUCCAUCAAUCCAAACUUUGCAGUAUCACAACCAUCAAUCAAGAUUCUUCCUCUUUCCAGUUCCACAAUUCGAAAUAAAGCAUUGAGCAUGCUAGAUUUGCCUGCUCCAGUCCUUCCAACUAUCCCAACUUUGUCACUUGGAGAAACCAUAAAGGACAGUCCAUGUAAGACAGGUGGAAGUUCAGGUCUGUAACGCAGGACAACACCCUCAAACUUGAUUGAUCCUGAUGAAGGCCAACCUGGAGGGGGGCGGUUGCCCUCAAUAAUUGGAGGGGCCUCUGAUGGCAAAUCUAUAUAUGUGCCAAU